GUGCCAGCCGCCGCGGUAAUACGUAGGGUCCGAGCGUUGUCCGGAAUUAUUGGGCGUAAAGGGCUCGUAGGCGGUUUGUCGCGUCGGGAGUGAAAACUCAGGGCUCAACCCUGAGCGUGCUUCCGAUACGGGCAAACUAGAGGUAUGCAGGGGAGAAUGGAAUUCCUGGUGUAGCGGUGGAAUGCGCAGAUAUCAGGAGGAACACCGGUGGCGAAGGCGGUUCUCUGGGCAUUACCUGACGCUGAGGAGCGAAAGCAUGGGGAGCGAACAGGAUUAGAAACC
rnacentral:rRNA from 1 species